UUUGUCCCUCUCAGUUACAGCUCAGACCCUCCCCUAGGUUUCCCAGGUGUGCCAGGGGAAGCCUUGCCCUCUGGCCAGGCAAAGCCAUUGGAAGUCUGUAAAGGUCACACACAGAGAAACAGCAGCAGUGCUGAUGAUAGCAACGUCCCCCUCCCUCGUCCCCUGCCCCAUGACAGGUAGGCAGUCACAGCCCAGCCCCGAGGAAGGAGCAGUCCCCCCUCUCCCUGCCACACACCAUAGAUCUUCUGGAUGCCCUGGAGAUCGUCCUGGGGCAGCUUGAAGUUGUGCGUCUCCAUGUACUGGUAGAAGGGCGCCAUGAUGGCGCUGGGGUCGCUGGAGUGCUCCAGUCCCAGCGCGUGGCCCAGCUCAUGCACAGCCACCAGGAAGAGGUCGUUCCCUGUGGAGAGGAGUGUGGGGAGGUGCCCAGGGCACCUGCUUAGAUAUGAGUCGGUCAGCCAACCCAUUACCUCAGCAAACACCGAGCACGGGCCCUGUGCCAGGCCCCGUGCUGGACACCAGGGACAUACAGAGAAAUCAGGCACAACCCCUGCCUCCCAAGCCUCUCUGCAGAGCAGGGACAAGGAGAGAGAGAGUGACAAGUGAGGCAGAGGGCUCUGGGUGCUUUAAGAAUGUCUGGGAGGGUCGAGCAGGGAUUCUGAGGAGAGAGGGGUCAUUUAAACCUGGAGGAAGAUGUUCAGGGAAAGCUUCACAAAGGUGAAGUUGAAGCUCAGUCUUGAAGGAUCAGAAGUUAGUCAGGAGAACGGAUUCAGGGGGCAGGAGAGGAAGGGUGGGGGUGGCAUUCCUGGCGGAUGGAAUGCAAUAAACACAGUCCAGAGACAGGCAGUUUCAUUCCACCUGGCUCUGGAACAAAGCAGGAGGGGAGGGCCGGAGAGAGAUGAGGUCAGCCAGGCUGGAAAGCAGGGCGCUUAAUGCCAUACAAAGGAAUUUGGAUCAGCUUCUUGGCUAGUGGGGGGUUUAAGUAGGAGUGGGGGUGGUGAUACAAUUAAAUCACUCUGGCUGCAGUUGAGGGAGGAUUAGAGGGAACAAGACCUGGGGCAGGGGGAUCUGUUUGGAUGCUGGGGUCCAGGCGAGAGAUUGUGGGGAAAAGCAAGAGAGAUCAGAUUGUUACUGUGUCUGUGCAGAAAGAAGUAGACAUAGGAGACUCCAUUUUGUUAUGUACUAAGAAAAAUUCUUCUGCCUUGAGAUUCUGUUAAUCUAUAACCUUACCCCCAACCCUGUGCUCUCUGAAACAUGUGCUGUGUCAACUCAGAGUUAAAUGGAUUAAGGGCGGUGCAAGAUGUGCUUUGUUAAACAGAUGCUUGAAGGCAGCAUGCUCCUUAAGAGUCAUCACCACUCCCUAAUCUCAAGUACCCAGGGACACAAAAACUGCGGAAGGCCGCAGGGACCUCUGCCUAGGAAAGCCAGGUAUUGUCCAAGGUUUCUCCCCAUGUGAUAGUCUGA
rnacentral:lncRNA from 1 species